AGACUACCGCCUAAAUGGGGAAAUACCAUCCUUGAAAAGUCAAUUUUAAGACAUAAAAACUGACCUUCCUCAAAAACACUUUGCUUCCGCUACAGAAGACAUCCCAAUCAACUGUUUCCUGAUAGAAAAACUCUAGUGGAUGAGUGUAACAAUUUACAAAAUCGUACUGCCGCCGCCAAACCGUACGCAAUCCAUUUCAACUUUCCAUAAAAACUAGGAUAUUUAUCCUAAGUAUCUCCCCCAUGAUUAAACGUACAUUCUCAAUCCAAUCAUCUGUCGAGAGAUAUGAAGCACAGCUAUACCUCCGUUAUCAGUGCAAUGUAGAACUAAUGCGAAGUCCAAAAGUGAACAUUACGAGAAUUAGGUCGAGCAGCAAACUUGCUUAAUCCACUACUCUUAAUCCGUAUAGAAUGAAAAUUCCAAUAAAUAUCGACAAGUUCUACCAACCACCCAGUCCUGAUUAGUCUUACUCCCACUUUAAUUUAGGCAGUGGCAAAAAUCCCCAAUGAUCGCCGGUUAUCUUUCUAACUGGUGUUACUCAUUUAGACAGUUAUAUACAUGUCUCUUUCUAAACCUGUUCACUAGAAUGGACAUUUGAUGUCCUGAUGUUCCUUAAUCAUCCGAGUGCAAUUGAGAAGAAGCGACGAAAAUUUACAUCACACUCACUCCGACAACCUUAAUAGAAAUUAAUCCUCUAGUACCUUAAACUCUAUCCAAGUAAGGUAACACCACCUCCACGGUCAGCUCCGAUAUUUGAAUUUGACCCCCUUAAUUUCCUUGGUAAAAGUAAGUGUCAUUAGUAUAUAAACUAAGACCCUAACUCCUAAUGUAACAACUAACCGACAACUCCUAUCGGUUGUUGCGAGCGUCCUCAUCCAUGUUCCCUUCCACCAGACAGAACUUAACGCAAAGUGCGAAUCACCACGUUGAUGCAUCUAAGUCGUCUUGUAAUCCCCUCUAUUCAUAUGAACUAAUAUUUCACUAGUUCGAAAUAAACAAGAUCUGAGCUGAUUUAAUUUAGAAAUCAACCCUCAACUAAAUCUGUAAUGAUGCUCAAUCAUUUCCACUACGGUAUGGAAAAUGGCUGCAAGGAUCCAGUAAUCUCGAACGGUCCAGCUUGAUCAUCCAAAUAAACAUUAAAAAUGAAGUCAAAAUCACUAUAUCUCUCUGCGCAUCCUCUUCUCAAUCUGUCUUUCGACUGCACCCAUUAUGUAACUUGGAGCAUCGUCAAAAGCUAACUCUACAACUUAAGUCUAUGCACCACUGAUCCGUGACAGACUUACUUAUAAUAAAAUCAACCGGUAAUUCUAUUCAUUGAAAAUCAACUCACUAUGACUUUUCACAUACACUGCGCUCCGCUUCCUUAUAUAGGCGUUCGGUCUCACCUUCCUGUCCUUGACACACCUUACUUCUCUAAUAUAAUUAAGUGUCAAUUAACCCCUUGUCACGCUUCAAACCAAUAUGGAAAAUUUUUAUCCAUAAAAUAAUUCCACAUUUUAUACAUUGUGGAAACUUUGAUUCCUCCUCCAAGUGCAACACCAGUAACCUCUUCAAAUGACACCCUCGUGAGUAGUGUCUUGGUUACAAAUUAACUGAUGAAUAUUUAAUCAGUCCACCAUCCUCUCUUAACGACAUUCUAAUAAAUACCUACCAGCAUGAAAUCCUCCUUUCGUCAUGGUGGUCACUUCAGAAAUUUCCCUGAAGAUAUUCUGCACCUCCGACGCCUUUCACAAACCAUGGUGGCAUUAUAGUGGUCUUUAUCUACCACAACCCCAUGAACACAAUCAUAAUAACAUCCACCAAUCUUAGGGUGUUAUAAAAACGAAUCCCUAUCUAGUGUAAAGCAUAUCAACCGAAUCAUUUUAGAUUAGUUGACGCGUACUGUUAGGUUAACUAUUCCAUCCCAAGUAACAUACCAUAAUUAUACAUGUUCAGGUCGAAUAGAUUGGCUGGACUCAUGUAUAUCUACCAAAUUUUAUGACCACAUGCUCACAAUCCUAGCGCACAUAGCGCUAUUAGUCCAUGUUAUUAAAACAAUAGUUGGCUAAUCACAUACAUGUGCCCCCAACUAAACCAUAUUUCCAAUCCGAACUAAUUAAUAAAAAAAAAACAAAUAAAACAUAUAAAUUACAUACAAUAAUGAAAAUGAACCACAUAAAACACAUACUGUUGAUCCAUUGGUUUAUCAUGUUUGCUCAUUUAAUGUAAAAUCAAUUUUCCUGGACAUCUCAUUUUUAAUCUUUAGUAUUGUUGGGUACUAUUUUAGUUAUAUUUAUAUGUCAUUAUCAGGUGUGCACUAACAAUUCUUUCAAUAUUUUUUUAGUCCAUGUGCGUGUAUACAGAUAUAUUGCAAGGAUAACCGAGUGUCUUCUAUGUCUAUUAAUUCCUCAUACUUCAACAUCUAGGUCAUGGAAUGUUUGCUAGUUGUGCUUAAAUGAAGGUUAUUAUAGAAUAGUAUAUGAUUUGCUAUCUAAAGUGAUCCAACGGCCUUAAGUUAUCCGGUCAGCUUUUAUUUGAAGUCAAGGGCUGUGAUUAAUUCAUUAAUUGGAUAGCUUUUGUGUGGCUGUAAGGAGCUGGUGCAUUCUCUCUCUAAUGGCUUCAUAGUUUAGAGAUACAUAUACAGAUCAAGCGUGCAUCUAUUAGGAAAAGCAUAAAAACUGAACAGAAAAACUAUCAGAGUGCUUAAAGAUGAAGAUACAUUGUGAGCUCCAGAGAAAAAUCAGAAUGACAUAGCAGGGCACAAGGAAGAAUCAAGAAGGAUUAAGUGAGUCUGUGUUUUAUUAACAAUCUGAGACAACCUGUGAUGGGCAUCUAUUGAAGACCAAAGAGUGAGCUUGAUUGCAGACGAAUUUAGAGCAACCAUGAAGACCCAUUUUGGCCGAAGUGCUGUUGAAGAUAAAUAGGUGACACUCCAUUGAAGAACCCAUCACCGGAGAGCUACAGCAACCACACCGGAGAGCUACAGCGACCAUACCGGAGAGCCACAGCGACCACACCUGCGUGAAGACUUCAUUUCAGCGAGCUAAAAUCUCUAUCGGCGAGAAGACCUCAUUCUGGUGAUUUUCAAUCUCAGUCCAGCGAGCUAAAAUAGCAGCAUACCAGGACGGCAAAAAUCUCUAAGCUUGUAUCAAAGCUCCGGUGCAGUUUCAUCUUACAGAAAUAUUUCAAGCGAGCUUCAGUCCAGCUCCGUUCAAACAAACACCAUCUCCGGUUGAAGCUUUGAAGUUGAAAAGAUCAAAUCCAGAAGCGGAGUGCAAUGUUUAUCUUGUAUGGGCUGUGAAAUCUAUAUUUCAAGUUUUAUGCUUAUUUAAAUCGUAUCUUGUAAAACUUGGAAGAACACCAUCAUUGUAUUAUAUUUUCUUGCUGAGUGACUUGGUGAGCAUUUGGUUCAUGCAUUGGGAUGCUGUGAACAGGGGGAGUGCUUGAGUGAUUGUUGUGAGAUUGGUGAGUGGUCUUAGCACAAGGGUGUUGUAGACACGGGAGAGUGCAAUAGUGACUUAUAUGUGAGGUUGGUGAGUGAGAUUGAGAGUUGGUGUACUCUAUUUCAUUUGUAGUGGAUUUGGAGUUCGGUUUCACAGCCCCGAGGACGUUUCCCCCACACUGGGGGUUUUACCUCGUAUAUCGGGUGUAAGACAAUCGUAGCAUUUCAUUUGAUGUUCUAUCAUCAUGCAUUAAGAUAAAAUUAAAAAAAAAUUGCAGAAAUCUCAUAAGAUACCAAUUCAACCCUCUCUUGGUAUCUUCAAUUGGUAUCAGAGCCAAGGUCUUUUUAUGUCAAGUUUCACCACCUGUAGAAAAAGGUCAUAAAUCAUGGCAGAUGAAGGUCAGGUUAUUAACAAAGCUCCAGGAUUUGAUGGGAUAGACUACGACUCAUGGAAGAUUAGGAUGGAGGCAUUUCUAAUGUCUCAAGCCUAUGAGGUUUGGCAAGCUGCUACCAUAGGAAUUGUUGUCCUCAAUCCUGAUAACCCCUCAACCACAGACAAAACAGCUAUGUCAAAUGAUGGCAGAACGAACCAUGAUCUGUAUUGUGCAUUGAAGCAACAUGAAUUCACCAGAGUGAAAAAUUGUAAAACUGCAAAAGAAAUAUGGGAUUCUUUAAGAGCUGCUCAUGAGGGAAACAAUAUUAUUAAGGAGAACAAGAUUCAGCUUCUUAAGGUUCAAUACGAAUGAUGCAAAAUGGAAGAGAAGGAGAAUGUGGCAGAAUACAUGUUCAGAAUUAAUAAGAUUGUCAACAACAUUAGAGCUCUUGGUGAAGACAUGAAGGACUCAGAAGUGUCCAAAAAGAUACUCAGGUCACUAACACCUAGAUUCAAUCCAAAAGUGACUCUUCUUGAAGAUAAAGACAUAUCCAAAAUGACUAUUGAUGAUUUGCAAACCUCUUUGACUGCCUAUGAGAUGAGGAUUGGUGUUCAGACUCAAUAUAGAAGAGAAGCUGCUCUAAAGGCUAAGGAAACUGUGGAAGAAGAAGUUCAAAAAUCUGAUGGUGACUUAUCUGAUGAUGAAGUAGCUUAUCUAACUAAGAAAUUCAAGAAGUUCAGGUUCAAGAAAAGAGGACAGUCACAGGGUUAGACUUGUUUUGGAUGUGGAAAAUCUGGUCACUUUAUUGCAAGUUGUCCAAGUAACACAAGGGCUCAAACUUAUAGAAAACCAUAGAAUUUCAACAACAGAAACAAAGGCAAGAAGAAGGCCUUCCCCACUGGUUGGAAAUCAAGCUCUGAAGAAGAAGAAGAAAAAAUAGUUUCAGGGGAUAAAGGAACCUGUCUAUUCAUGGUUAUUCAUGAGCCUUCCUCAUUUCAAAUUAAUGAAGAGGUAAAUGAAGAUGAAGAAGAUGAUCUUGAUGAAGUCCUUACUGAAUGUGAAAGGCUUGCUAGAAAAUGUAAUUCACAGAAGAAAGAAUUGAAGCUGAUCAGCCAUAAGUUAGAAACAACUAAAGAGCUACUCAUGAAACACAUCAAGGUAAAACUCUCUCUUUUCUGUUCCACUUCCUUAAUUGUGUGUCAGUGUACCAAAGACAGGAUAGGUGAUAUAAAAUGGAGCAUUAAAAGAUGUAAAGAGGAAUUGGCAAUGGCAUUAGAAGAAAGGUCUAAAAAGAUGAUUGAGGUCUGGACUAACUCAACUAAGCAAAUUGGGAGGAUAGGUAUUGGCUAUGAUCUAAAUUCGCUUGAAAAGGUAAAACAAACCUCAUCACACUCUAUCUUUGUUAAAUCUGAAAGUGGUGAAAUUUAUGCUGCCUAUCCUACUACUAUCAGUGCAUGUAGACCCAAGUAUGAAUUGCUUCAGUCCACUCACUUCAAUUUAAAGCAUGAUCACUUAGAUGUUGAAUCAUAUGCAAAUAGAAACUCUAAAGGUAAACUUGCAUAUGUAUAGAAAUCUGAAUUGAAGCAUGGUAGUGUAUCUAAGAUAAACAAGUCAUUUGUGAAAACUAGAAUGAUGUGGAUACCUAAGAAACAAAAUGCUGUUAGUUUUCUAAUUUACACUGCUUUUAAAGCAUGCAAUAUUAACAAUAAAUGGUAUGUUGAUAGUGGCUGCUCUAGACACAUGACAGGUGAUAUGUCAAAAUUUGAAAAACUUGAAAAGUAUAAUGGUGGCACAGUUAUCUUUGGAGAUAACAAAAAGACCAAAAUUGUGGGAAAAUGAAUCAUUUCUAAAGCUGCUGACAUCCCUAAAAUUAAAGAUGUUUUAUAUGUUGAGGGCCUUAAACACAAUUUGCUCAGUAUUAGUCAAUUGUGUGACACUGGAUGUAUGGUAUGUUUUGAUAAGAAUGACUGUAAAGUCAUUGAUGAACAAUCUGGAAAAGCUUUAUUUUCUGCAAGCAGAUCCCCUACAAAUGUGUACACCAUUGCUGAGGACACGUCUUUAAAUGUGUGUAAUUUGUCUAAAUCUGAAGAUAGCAUUUUAUAGCAUAAAAGGCUUGGUCAUGUGCAUGCUAAGAAUAUCAUGAAUGUAGUUAAGUAUAAAGCUGUUAGAGGCAUACCUGAGUUAAAAAUUGAUGAAAAUCAUGUAUGCAAAACAUGUCAAUUUGGUAAACAAACUAAAGCUUCAUUUAAAUCUAAAGAAAUCAAUACUUCACAACCAUUUGAGAUUAUUCAUAUGGAUUUAUGUGGACCUACUAGGACCACAAGCAUAGGUGGAAGUAGAUAUUUCAUGCUUCUUAUUGAUGAUUUUAGUAGAAUGACAUGGAUAUAUUUUCUGAAAGAAAAAUCUGAUGCCAUUAACCAUUUUAUCAAGUUUGUCAACAUUGUACAAAAUGAGAAAAAUUGCAGGGUCAAAAGACUAAGAUCAGACUUUGGCACUGAAUUCACAAUGAAUGAGUUUGAGGCUUCUAUGAUUCAAGAGGCAUAAAGAAAGAAUUCUCAGCAGUUGCUACUCCACAACAAAACGGGGUUGUUGAAAGAAAGAACAGGACCGUUCAAGAAAUGGGCAGGACUUUAAUGUUGGAAAGAGGCCUCUCAAAAGGCUUCUGGGCUGAAUCUAUAAACACAACUAUCUAUAUCAUAAACAGAGUACUUCUGAGACCAAAAUCUACAAAAACUCCUUUUGAGUUGUGGUAUGGAAGGCCUGUAACAGUUCAUUACUUCAAAGUCUUUGGAAGCAAGUGCUACAUUUUUAAUCAUCUCGACAAUCUUGGAAAAUUUGAUGCCAAGUCAGAUGAAGGAAUUUUACUAGGUUACUCCACAAAGAACAAAGCUUACAGAUGCUACAACUUGAGAACAAAGAAGAUGGUGGAAUCAAUUCAUGUAAAGGUUGAUGAAGGGGGUGAUGUCAAAAUAGAUGAAGGCGAUGAGACUAUCACUGCAACAAAGUAACCUAUUUUGGAAAAUGAUGGUGCUAGCACUUCAACAGAGAUUCAGCAAGAUAAAAGAGAAACUUUGUAUCCCACUCUUCAAAAGCAUGUGCAACAACACAACAUCAUUGGUGACAAAGAUACAGGUGUCAUGACCAGAUCUAAGAAGAAUGCCGCUGAAACAUUUGAGAAAGAUGAAUAUAGUCAUAUAGCUAUGUUGUUCUCUAUUGAGCCGAAACACUACCAAGAUGCCAAUGAUGAUAAAUACUGGAUCAUUGUUAUGAAAGAAGAGCUGGAACAGAUUGAGAAAAAUGAUACUUGGAUCCUUAUUCCUAGACCAGAAAACAAGAAUGUUAUUGGCUCAAAAUGGAUCUUCAGAAACAAGUUAAAUGAGAAGGGCAUUGUGAUUAGAAACAAAGCAAGAUUGGUUUGCAAAGGUUUUGCUCAAAUAGCUGGACUUGAUUAUGAUGAAACUUUUGCUCCAGUGGCACGACUGGAAUCCAUUAGAAUGCUUCUCUCAUUUACUUGCUACAAAAGAGUCAUGGUUUAUUAGAUGGAUGUAAAAUCAGCUUUCUUGAAUGGUGAUCUCCAUGAAGAAGUGUACAUUGAGCAGCCUAAAGGAUUUGAAAAUUCAGUGCAUCCAAAACAUGUCUACAAACUUAGGAAAGCUCUUUAUGGUCUCAAGCAAGCACCUCGAGCCUGGUAUGAUAAGCUUCACUCAUUCUCAUUGAACAAGGGUUCACGAGAGGUCAUGGAAUGUUUGCUAGCUGUGCUUAAAUGAAGCUUAUUAUAGAAUAGUAUAUGAUUUGCUAUCUAAAGUGAUCCAACGGCCUUAAGUUAUCUGGUCAGCUUUUAUUUGAAGUCAAGGGCUGUGAUUAAUUCAUGAUUGGAUAGCUUUUGUGUGGCUGUAAGGAGCUGGUGCGUUCUUUCUCUAACGGCUUCAUAGUUUAGAGAUACAUAUACAAAUCAAGUGUGCGUCUGUUAGGAAAAGCACAAAAACUGAACAGAAAAACUAUCAGAGUGCUUAAAGAUGAAGACACAUUGUGAGAUCCAGAGAAAAAUCAGAGUGACAUAGCAAUGCGCAAGGAAGAAUCAAGAAAGAUUAAGUGGGUCUGUGCUUUAUUGACAAUCUGAGACAACCUGUGACGUUCAUCUAUUGAAGACCAAAGAGUGAGCCUGAUUGCAGACGAAUUUAGAGCAACCAUGAAGACCCAUUUUGGCCGAAGUCCUGUUGAAGAUAAAUAGGUGACACUCCAUUGAAGAACCCAUCACCGGAGAGCUACAGCAACCACACCGGAGAGCUACAGCGACCACACCGGAGAGCCACAGCGACCACACCUGCGUGAAGACUUCAUUUCAGCGAGCUAAAAUCUCUAUCGGUGAGAAGACCUCAUUCCGGUGAUUUUCAAUCUCAGUCCAGCGAGCUAAAAUAGCAGCAUACCAGGACGGCAAAAAUCUCUAAGCUUGUAUCAAAGCUCCGGUGCAGUUUCAUCUUACAGAAAUAUUUCAAGCGAGCUUCAGUCCAGUUCUGUUCAAACAAACACCAUCUCCGGUUGAAGCUUUGAAGUUGAAAAGAUCAAAUCCAGAAGCGGAGUGCAAUGUUUAUCUUGUAUGGGCUGUGAAAUCUAUAUUUCAAGUUUUAUUUAAAUCGUAUCUUGUAAAACUUGGAAGAACACCAUCAUUGUAUUAUAUUUUCUUGCUGAGUGACUUGGUGAGCACUUGGUUCAAGCAUUGGGAUGCUGUGAAUAGGGGGAGUGCUUGAGUGAUUGUUGUGAGAUUGGUGAGUGGUCCUAGCACAAGGGUGUUGUGGACAGCACAAGGGUGUUGUGGACACGGGAGAGUGCAAUAGUGACUUAUAUGUGAGGUUGGUGAGUGAGAUUGAGAGUUGGUGUACUCUAUUUCAUUUAUAGUGGAUUUUGAGUUGGGUUUCACAGCCCCGAGGACGUUUCCCCCACACUAGGGGUUUUACCUCGCAUAUCUGGUGUAAGACAAUCGUAGCAUUUCAUUUGAUAUUCUAUCAUCAUGCAUUAAGAUUAAAAAAAAAAAAAAAAAAAAAAAAAAAA